rnacentral:tRNA from 1 species
GUCUCGGAUAGCUUAUCUGGUAGAGCGUUUGGCGCAUUACCAAAAAGAUCCAGGUUCUAGUCCUGGUCUGGGCU